CGACAAAUUAAUCGGAUCAAAGGCUUGCUGAUUUCGCAGGGUGUGCGGCUCGAGGAGAUCAAAAGUACGUUUGUGCAAGAUCUGGGGAAAAUGCGUUUGUGGAACGGUUCGAUGCUGCCGCCGAAUCUCAAGCAUCGUUUGCAACGGGAAUUUGAGCGAUUACAGCUGAUCGAUAAGCAGAUGCGAGAGCUCGAAGAAGAACGUAUUCGAGAGCUUCGUACAUCCUCGUCAGACGCCGCCAAAAAAGCUCGCCGGCUGAUGAACCUGCAUG
rnacentral:misc_RNA from 1 species